AACGAACGCUGGCGGCAGGCCUAACACAUGCAAGUCGAGCGAGGACUUCGGUCCUAGCGGCGGACGGGUGAGUAACGCGUGGGAACGUGCCCCUUGGUACGGAAUAGCCCCGGGAAACUGGGAGUAAUACCGUAUGAGCUCUACGGAGGAAAGCUUUAUCGCCAAGCGAUCGGCCCGAGUUGGAUUAGGUAGUUGGUGGGGUAAUGGCCUACCAAGCCGACGAUCCAUAGCUGUGUUGAGAGGGUGCUCAGCCACACUGGUGCUGAGACACAUACCAGACUCCUACGGGAGGCAGCAGUGGGGAAUCUUAGACAAUGGGCGCAAGACUGAUCUAGCCAUGCUGCGUGAGCGAUGUAGGCCUUAGGGUUGUAAAGCUCCUUCAGCUGGGAAGUGAAUUACUGUACCAGCAGAAGAAGCCCCGGCUAACUCCGAGCAAGCAGCCGCAGUAACAC
rnacentral:rRNA from 1 species